rnacentral:rRNA from 1 species
UACGAAGGGGGCAAGCGUUGUUCGGAUUUACUGGGCGUACAGGGAGCGUAGGCGGUUGGAUAAGCCCUCCGGGAAAUCUCCAGGCUUAACCUGGAAAGUGCAGAGGGGACUGUUCAGCUAGAGGAUGGGAGAGGAGCGCGGAAUUCCCGGUGUAGCGGCGAAAUGCGUAGAGAUCGGGAGGAAGGCCGGUGGCGAAGGCGGCGCUCUGGAACAUUUCUGACGCUGAGGCUCGAAAGCGUGGGGAGCAAACAGG